rnacentral:rRNA from 1 species
UACGGGGGGAGCAAGCGUUGUUCGGAUUUACUGGGCGUAAAGGGCGCGUAGGCGGCGCAACAAGUCACUUGUGAAAUCUCCGGGCUUAACUCGGAACGGUCAAGUGAUACUGUUGUGCUAGAGUGCGGAAGGGGCAACUGGAAUUCUCGGUGUAGAGGUGAAAUUCGUAGAUAUCGAGAGGAACACCGGUGGCGAAGGCGGCUACCUGGACGGUGACUGACGCUGAGGCGCGAAAGCCAGGGGAGCAAACGGG